rnacentral:rRNA from 1 species
UACGUAGGUGGCGAGCGUUGUCCGGAUUUACUGGGCGUAAAGAGCGCGCAGGCGGUCGUUCAAGUCGCGUGUUAAAGCCCCCGGCUCAACUGGGGAGGGUCACGCGAUACUGAUCGACUCGAAGGCAGGAGAGGGUAGUGGAAUUCCCGGUGUAGUGGUGAAAUGCGUAGAUAUCGGGAGGAACACCAGUGGCGAAGGCGACUACCUGGCCUGUUCUUGACGCUGAGGCGCGAAAGCUAGGGGAGCAAACGGG